GGCUCACAAGUUGUCGUCUUAGCUUGAAUGGGAACCAGAUAUCCUAGAGCUCUCAGAAGUAAUUGCCCCAAAAUAACAACGAGGCUCAAUAUGGUGCGCUUAGUACAUACUAAUACCGCUAUUAAUUAGAACCUCUAACAAAGAAUUGAAGCGCCUUGCCUCGGGACACGUCUUGAGUCUUUCCUGACCCUCGCAGGCUUUACCGUGUCUGAGACGCGCCAAGCGGACCAGCCGCCACAGACAUCAAUAUCGACUGAUUCCA